GACGAGGUUGCCGAGCGUUGAAGGCGAUGGACUGCUAAUCCAUUGGGCUCUGCUCGCUUUGGUUCUAAUCCCAACGGCGUCG